rnacentral:misc_RNA from 1 species
UCUCUCUCUCUCUCUCUUUCUUGCGCCCUCUUUCUUUCUCUUAUUUUUUCUCUUGUCUUCUAAUUCUUAUUUUUAUUGUCAGCUUUCUUUUUUCUUUUUUCCUUCUCUUUGCUUAUUUCUUUCUUAAAGUACGAUCACUGUGCUUACGGCCAUUAUUGCGUGCGCUAAGAAUCAACAACUUACGAUUAGCCACAGUAACGAGCUAUGGAUCUCAUGUCGAAAGUUCACCCAGGGAUGUAGACAAAUCGUCACCUCUGAGUAAUUCGGUAACCGCAGCGAGCCGCAGAUCUCGAGAGAGAUCGUUGAAGGGCAUUCUGCGACUGUGUCUAAUUGUAUAGGAAUGCGCGAAAAAGACUGCCUGUUCCGUUUAGCAUUAUUCGUAGACUUCAGCAUCGGUGUGUGACCGCAAGAAUGUGUUUUUACAUGUGUGAAACGUCACUUGAUUUAACCGCCGAUCGUGAAUUCGGCGCUAAGCAUCGCAUCCGCUUAGACGCGACGGUAUGUGGCGACCUCUCCAUACUGAUGGAAAUUUAUUUACUGUUAAUAUAUAGAGUUGCAUAAAAACACUGGAAAAAUUUAUUACCAUUUCAAUUUUUUCAUCUCUGUUAAGAUUCUCGAUGACAUAUACCCGAAACAGGAGAAAUUCUUUUAUUUCGAUCAUGUCUUUCUACAUUGUGAAACAUAAUUGAUGUAUAGCGAAACGCAUAAAUGCAGACACAGACACAUACAGUACACAUAAUUAUAUUUGACACACACACACAUACACACACACGUGCGCGCACGCGCGCACACGCACGCACGCACGCGCGCACAUAAAAUCGAGCUGAUAAAAACUGUGCGCGAAAUAUUUCUGCGACACACAAAUCUGUGACUGUAAAUGUGUCUAGAUAAAACGUAACUUAACAUUUAAUAAAGUACUGUAAUAAGUUAUUAAAAUAAUACAUAAUCAGUAAAUCGAUAUUCCUAUCUUGUUUCUAUAAAUAUACAAAAAAAUGAAGAGUAAAUCUUGUUCAAUAAAUAUAUUUUAUAUCUAAACAAUCUAUCUAAAAAAACUAUGAAAAAGUGCUUUGAAUUUAUGCAAGAAUUAAUAAUGCAAAAAAACAAUUUUUUAGAUGUCGUUUAUUUGUGAUGUGAAACUUUUGAUCGACUGAUCCUUGGAAUCGAACAAUAAUUAAAUCGAUCAUAUUUAUAAGGUGAUAUUUCUUUAACAUCAGGAAUUAUACAGUAACGGUCAAAAGUACAUUAUCCUUACGUGUGUUUUGAGAAUAACUUUCAUUUACGUAAAUCAAGUAAAUUUAACCCUUUUUACAAUACAUAUUUUGUUAAAUCUUAUAACACAUUAUAUGUAAAAUGUAUCUAAUAUCAGGUAUUUAUUGUUAAAUUUGAUUUACUUAAAUAAAAGUCAUGCUAAAAAAACUUAAAGGUGAUAUACUUUUGGUACUGUACAUAUACAAUACUUUACAUUUGUAUGAUUAAGGUAACCUAACACGAUUUUAUUUUUUGUAUAUACUUACGUUUUUAGUGUACUACAAUAUUCUUACGUCUACAUAGAAAAUUGGACAAAACAGAAUGCCGUAAUAUUUAAAAUACAUCGGUGAGAGAGAUAAGUUAAUUUAUUGGCAUCCGAAACGCUUGUGGAAAUACAUUUUUACAUACUAUAAUGCAGUUAUACGUAAGAGAUAAACAUACAGAACUUGGAAUAUAUAGAUGAAAUACAAUUCUUCGAUUAAUUUUGCUAAAUAUUUCGAAAUUUUUAAGCGAUUCACAAAAAUUUGGGCACCAAGAAUACGUCUGUUAAUCUCGAUUUGCUAUUUUAAUUCUAUAACAACUCGUAAACAUUGACGAGCAUGGAACUGACAUCUUUUUCGACAUUUACGAAGGUAUUAAUUUAAAGGAUAAAAAUAAAUAAUGUGAGAUUUAUAUUACGUAUGUCGGAUUAUCGUAUCAGUGGUUUUUUUCUUGUGAUGAUGUAUCCUCUUUGGAAGUUCCAUCGUCGGCAUAAAAUUGAAUAUAGGAUGACGCAAAUCAAGAAUGCUUUGGUCAUCUUAAUAAAUAUCGGACGCAAUUUUAUUUAAAGUUCACGCAAAUAUAUAUGUUUUCCCCGCUCGUCCACACCGAGAAUUUCUGAAAAUUCAGACCUUGGCACUGAUUCAACGACCGAGUUAACAAGCGUCUGGCUUCCCAUCUUGCAGAACCCGCAAUGUAUGAGAAGAUACGAGUUAGUCGAGACGUUGAUAACGCGUCGAUUGCAUAAAUUCUUCAUUAUUUCAACUGUUUUACGUCUAAAGGAUCUGUUUGACACUUGCAGUUAUCAUCUCUAUAGAUAUUCAAGUUCGGACAACAACAUUAACUCUAGAAUGUCAUACCGGAAUAGUUUUGUACCCCAGCGCGCAUUGUAAUUUAUCUCCUAAUUUAGCAGAUGAAAGGAUCGACUCGAGACAUCGACCAUAAUACAAUUUAAAGUCUUAGAAAUGGAGAGGGACAUUAGCUGGCGUCAGAACGUUAUUAGCUUCCUAGCAAUACAGAUAUAGUAGGAUGUACAGUGGAAGUGGAAUACGUUUAUACACCAGUCUGAUGUUUAUGUAUACAUUUUGUUCGGAUACUACCAUACGAAACAUUGUUUUUUCCAUUAAUAAAGAAUGAACUGAACAUCGCGAUAGACAGACGGGCGCUAGCUAUAGAAAGAGGGGUAUACUACGGCUACAUUUGCGCAAACUGCAACGUUCCUGCGUGUGAAGACCAUAGGACCAUACAGUGUGGCAAGUGUCGUUUGGAGUAUGAAAAUAUUUGAAAAUAAUUUCUUUUUACUUUAAUAAUGUAUUCUGUAUUAAAAAAUAAACAUUUUUUAAACAAUUUUAUAUACCAAAAUUUAUAUAAAAAUGGAUUGUGUCCUUAUUUAUUUUUUCCUUUUUCUUAAGCUAUCGUUUUCUGCAACUUUGAUUUGUCAAAAUAAAUAUACUUUUUAAACAAUAUCUAAAAUUUAUUUUAUCCCAGAUCUAUCUUUUACCUUUCUAAAACUAUUUAUUUUAAUCUAUUAAAAAUUAAUGAAAGUACGAUAGAUUAAAAAAACUCAUUUUUGCAAUUUUUUUCAAACUUUAUUUUAUUUAAAUUAAUUUUUAACGUAUUUAAUGUUAUUUAAUAUUAUUAUAGAUUAUAUCAUCAGCUUUGUCGUGAAAAAACCGAAGAGAUUCAUGUGAUACAAUAUUGAUUUCAGUCCAUCUGUUCAAUGCAGAACACUUGAGAAGGAGUAUAUUUAUUACUCAGUAUGACGUUUAAAAUUGCAGCUUUAAAUAAAAAUUGAAUAUAAUCGUUCUAACACAUAUAUAUGUAUAUAUAUAACAUUAAGUAAUAAUAAAUAAUAAAGCAAAAUUAGUAUUGUAUUAUUAUUUUUAGUACGGCAAUAUAUCUAUAUGUGCUACUUUGCUAGUGACAUUGCUCAGUAGGAUUUCUUUUAGCAUAAUUGUUUAGAACAUUUUACGCUUAUAGUCUACAGAUGUGAAGAUGUGCUUGUCGCGACGUUUUAGUUUUCUUAUUUCUUUUAUCUUCUAUUUUUUUACAUCAUAAAAUAGUCAAUAUAGGUUCUUAUUUUACAAUAUUAUAAUGUAGAAUUUGAAUAAAGUCAUUUUCAGUCAAAGAGAACAAAAUCGCCACGAGCAUCAAAUACAAUUUUACUUAAACAGUUGUAAGUUAUAAAUUAAGUAACAUAGAGUGAUGUAUGAUAUAU